CCUACGGGAGGCAGCAGUGAGGAAUAUUGGUCAAUGGACGAGAGUCUGAACCAGCCAAGUAGCGUGAAGGAUGACUGCCCUAUGGGUUGUAAACUUCUUUUAUAUGGGAAUAAAAUGUUCCACGUGUGGGUUUUUGUAUGUACCAUAUGAAUAAGGAUCGGCUAACUCCGUGCCAGCAGCCGCGGUAAUACGGAGGAUCCGAGCGUUAUCCGGAUUUAUUGGGUUUAAAGGGAGCGUAGGUGGAUUGUUAAGUCAGUGGAGAAAGUUUGCGGCUCAACCGUAAAAUUGCAGUUGAAACUGGCAGUCUUGAGUACAGUAGAGGUAGGCGGAAUUCGUGGUGCAGCGGUGAAAUGCUUAGAUAUCACGAAGAACUCCGAUUGCGAAGGCAGCUCACUGGACUGCAACUGACACUGAGGCUCGAAAGUGUGGGUAUCAAACAGGAUUAGAUACCCGAGUAGUC
rnacentral:rRNA from 1 species